rnacentral:rRNA from 1 species
AUGUCGUCAUCAAGGUCGAGGCCGUCGUUCAGGAACUGGUUGAUCCGAGAACCAGCCGCCGGGAUGGUGGCCUCCGCCAGGAUCUGCAUGAUCUCGUCCAUGCUCUGCAUCGGCUGUUCCGGCUCCUCAUACUGGCUGCUCAUGGUGCUAUCAUCCACCAGGUCAGCUGGGAGAUUCUUCAAGAACCACGGAUGGUUUCUUAUCUCGGGGAUUGUGAUUCUCUGCUGUAGCUGGGUUGCCCACGAAAAUCUUGGCGAUAAGAUCUCGACACUCGGCAGAUAUGUGCACGUAAUCGGGAAUCGAGUACUGCACACUCAGUAUCCUCUGGCAAAACAAGCGCAUUAG